CGGUACAUCGGUGACAGGUGGUGCAUGGUUGUCGUCAGCUCGUGUCGUGAGAUGUUGGUAAGUCCCGCAACGAGCGCAACCCCUAUUGUUAGUUGCCAUCAUUCAGUUGGGCACUCUAGCGAGACUGCCGGUAAUAAACCGGAGGAAGGUGGGGAUGACGUCAAAUCAUCAUGCCCCUUAUGACCUGGGCUACACACGUGCUACAAUGGUUGGUACAACGAGUUGCGAGUCGGUGACGGCGAGCUAAUCUCUUAAAGCCAAUCUCAGUUCGGAUUGUAGGCUGCAACUCGCCUACAUGAAGUCGGAAUCGCUAGUAAUCGCGGAUCAGCACGCCGCGGUGAAUACGUUCCCGGGCCUU
rnacentral:rRNA from 1 species